AUUGAACGCUGGCGGCAUGCCUUACACAUGCAAGUCGAACGGUAACAGCACUUCGGUGGCUGACGAGUGGCGAACGGGUGAGUAAUACAUCGGAACGUGCCCGAGAGUGGGGGAUAACGCAGCGAAAGCUGUGCUAAUACCGCAUACGAUCUACGGAUGAAAGCAGGGGACCGCAAGGCCUUGCGCUCAUGGAGCGGCCGAUGGCAGAUUAGGUAGUUGGUGGGAUAAAAGCUUACCAAGCCGACGAUCUAUAGCUGGUCUGAGAGGACGACCAGCCACACUGGGACUGAGACACGGCCCAGACUCCUACGGGAGGCAGCAGUGGGGAAUGUUGGACAAUGGGGGAAACCCUGAUCCAGCCAUGCCGCGUGCAGGAUGAAGGCCUUCGGGUUGUAAACUGCUUUUGUACGGAACGAAAAGGUCUUUUCUAAUAAAGAAGGCUCAUGACGGUACCGUAAGAAUAAGCACCGGCUAACUACGU
rnacentral:rRNA from 1 species